rnacentral:rRNA from 1 species
AUUGAACGCUGGCGGCAUGCCUUACACAUGCAAGUCGAACGGCAGCACGGGUGCUUGCACCUGGUGGCGAGUGGCGAACGGGUGAGUAAUACAUCGGAACAUGUCCUGUAGUGGGGGAUAGCCCGGCGAAAGCCGGAUUAAUACCGCAUAUGAUCUACGGAUGAAAGCGGGGGACCUUCGGGCCUCGCGCUAUAGGGUUGGCCGAUGGCUGAUUAGCUAGUUGGUGGGGUAAAGGCCUACCAAGGCGACGAUCAGUAGCUGGUCUGAGAGGACGACCAGCCACAACGGGAAUGGGGCACGGGCCAAACUCCUAAGGGGAGGCGGAGUGGGGAAUUUUGGACAAUGGGCGAAAGCCUGAUCCAGCAAUGCCGCGUGUGUGAAGAAGGCCUUCGGGUUGUAAAGCACUUUUGUCCGGAAAGAAAUCCUUGGCCCUAAUACGGUCGGGGGAUGACGGUACCGGAAGAAUAAGCACCGGCUAACUACGUG